AACUCUAAGCGGUGGAUCACUCGGCUCAUGGGUCG
rnacentral:rRNA from 1 species